GGUUUUAUAUUCAUUUUAUGAUAAUGAAUUGCAAAUUCAUAGGUAUAUUUAAUAUUAAGGCUU
rnacentral:tRNA from 1 species